rfam:Morus notabilis contig10359, whole genome shotgun sequence.
AGUCCGUGGUAUGGACACUUCCUUAAUAAUUCCUUAAAGCGUUCCCAUGAUUCACAUAGAGCUUCCCCCUCCAUCUGCUGAAAUGAUGUGAUAUCAUUCCUGAGUUU